rnacentral:rRNA from 1 species
UGAAUAAGUGGCACCUGACGGUCCUUACCAGAAACCCCGGCUAACUACGUGCCAGCAGCCGCGGUAAUUCGUAGGUGGCAAGCGUUGUCCGGAAUUAUUGGGCGUAAAGCGCGCGCAGGCGGUUUCUUAAGUCUGAUGUGAAAGCCCCCGGCUCAACCGGGGAGGGUCAUUGGAAACUGGGAAACUUGAGUGCAGAAGAGGAAAGUGGAAUUCCAAGUGUAGCGGUGAAAUGCGUAGAGAUUUGGAGGAACACCAGUGGCGAAGGCGACUUUCUGGUCUGUAACUGACGCUGAGGCGCGAAAGCGUGGGGAGCAAACAGGAUUAGAUACCCUGGUAGUCCACGCUGUAAACGAUGAGUGCUAAGUGUUAGAGGGUUUCCGCCCUUUAGUGCUGAAGUUAACGCAUUAAGCACUCCGCCUGGGGAGUACGGUCGCAAGACUGAAACUCAAAGGAAUUGACGGGGGCCCGCACAAGUGGUGGAGCAUGUGGUUUAAUUCGAAGCAACGCGAAGAACCUUACCAGGUCUUGACAUCCUCUGACAACCCUAGAGAUAGGGCUUUCCCUUCGGGGACAGAGUGACAGGUGGUGCAUGGUUGUCGUCAGCUCGUGUCGUGAGAUGUUGGGUUAAGUCCCGCAACGAGCGCAACCCUUGAUCUUAGUUGCCAGCAUUUAGUUGGGCACUCUAAGGUGACUGCCGGUGACAAACCGGAGGAAGGUGGGGAUGACGUCAAAUCAUCAUGCCCCUUAUGACCUGGGCUACACACGUGCUACAAUGGAUAGUACAAAGGGUUGCAAGACCGCGAGGUGGAGCUAAUCCCAUAAAACUAUUCUCAGUUCGGAUUGUAGGCUGCAACUCGCCUACAUGAAGCCGGAAUCACUAGUAAUCGCGGAUCAGCAUG